GCUUGCCUUCUUUCCGUCUUACUAAGGCGUGUAUCUGCCGUUACAUCAUUCUUUAUUUCUCUUCCCAUAAAAGAUUAGUGAUCGAAAGAUUACAAACUUUAACAUCUGUAUUAUCCAAUAAACUUCAC